AACGAACGCUGGCGGCGUGCCUAACACAUGCAAGUCGAGCGGUAUAUGGUGGAAUGAAACUUCGGUCGAGUGAAGCCAUAGAGAGCGGCGGACGGGUGAGUAACGCGUAGGCAACCUGCCCCAUACAGAGGGAUAGCCUCGGGAAACCGGGGAUUAAACCUACAUAACGCGAGGAGUUCACAUGGACUUCUCGCCAAAGAUUCAUCGGUAUGGGAUGGGCCUGCGUCUGAUUAGCUAGUUGGUGAGGUAACGGCUCACCAAGGCGACGAUCAGUAGCCGACCUGAGAGGGUGAUCGGCCACAUUGGGACUGAGACACGGCCCAGACUCCUACGGGAGGCAGCAGUGGGGAAUAUUGCACAAUGGGGGAAACCCGUGAUGCAGCAACGCCGCGUGAGUGAUGAC
rnacentral:rRNA from 1 species